GACGAACGCUGGCGGCGUGCCUAAUACAUGCAAGUAGAACGCACAGUUUAUACCGUAGCUUGCUACACCAUAGACUGUGAGUUGCGAACGGGUGAGUAACGCGUAGGUAACCUGCCUGGUAGCGGGGGAUAACUAUUGGAAACGAUAGCUAAUACCGCAUAAUAUUAAUUAUUGCAUGAUAAUUGAUUGAAAGGUGCAAAUGCAUCACUACCAGAUGGACCUGCGUUGUAUUAGCUAGUAGGUGAGGUAACGGCUCACCUAGGCGACGAUACAUAGCCGACCUGAGAGGGUGAUCGGCCACACUGGGACUGAGACACGGCCCAGACUCCUACGGGAGGCAGCAGUAGGGAAUCUUCGGCAAUGGACGAAAGUCUGACCGAGCAACGCCGCGUGAGUGAAGAAGGUUUUCGGAUCGUAAAGCUCUGUUGUAAGAGAAGAACGGGU
rnacentral:rRNA from 1 species